rnacentral:rRNA from 1 species
AGUGAACGCUGGCGGUAGGCCUAACACAUGCAAGUCGAACGGCAGCACAGUAAGAGCUUGCUCUUACGGGUGGCGAGUGGCGGACGGGUGAGGAAUACAUCGGAAUCUACUUUUUCGUGGGGGAUAACGUAGGGAAACUUACGCUAAUACCGCAUACGACCUACGGGUGAAAGCAGGGGAUCUUCGGACCUUGCGCGACUGAAUGAGCCGAUGUCGGAUUAGCUAGUUGGCGGGGUAAAGGCCCACCAAGGCGACGAUCCGUAGCUGGUCUGAGAGGAUGAUCAGCCACACUGGAACUGAGACACGGUCCAGACUCCUACGGGAGGCAGCAGUGGGGAAUAUUGGACAGUGGGCGCAAGCCUGAUCCAGCCAUACCGCGUGGGUGAAGAAGGCCUUCGGGUUGUAAAGCCCUUUUGUUGGGAAAGAAAAGCAGCAGGUUAAUACCCCGCUGUUCGGACGGUACCCAAAGAAUAAGCACCGGCUAACUUCGU